rnacentral:rRNA from 1 species
GAUGAACGCUGGCGGCGUGCCUAAUACAUGCAAGUCGAGCGAAUGGAUUAAGAGCUUGCUCUUAUGAAGUUAGCGGCGGACGGGUGAGUAACACGUGGGUAACCUGCCCAUAAGACUGGGAUAACUCCGGGAAACCGGGGCUAAUACCGGAUAACAUUUUGAACCGCAUGGUUCGAAAUUGAAAGGCGGCUUCGGCUGUCACUUAUGGAUGGACCCGCGUCGCAUUAGGUAGUUGGGGAGGUAACGGCUCACCAAGGCAACGAUGAGUAGCCGACCGGGGAGGGUUAUCGGCCACACUGGGACUGGGACACGGCCCAGACUCCUACGGGAGGCAGCAGUAGGGAAUCUUCCGCGAUGGACGAAAGUCUGACGGAGCAACGCCGCGUGAGUGAUGAAGGCUUUCGGGUCGUAAAACUCUGUUGUUAGGGAAGAACAAGUGCUAGUUGAAUAAGCUGGCACCUUGACGGUACCUAACCAGAAAGCCACGGCUAACUACGUGCCAGCCGCCACAGUAA